AAUCAUUCUCUGCGUAUUUCU
rnacentral:snRNA from 1 species